rnacentral:rRNA from 1 species
UACGGGGGGGGCAAGCGUUGUUCGGAAUUACUGGGCGUAAAGGGCUCGUAGGCGGCCAACUAAGUCAGACGUGAAAUCCCUCGGCUUAACCGGGGAACUGCGUCUGAUACUGGAUGGCUUGAGUUUGGGAGAGGGAUGCGGAAUUCCAGGUGUAGCGGUGAAAUGCGUAGAUAUCUGGAGGAACACCGGUGGCGAAGGCGGCAUCCUGGACCGAGAUUGACGCUGAUGCGCGAAAGCCAGGGGAGCAAACGGG